CAUGUGACGACGUUGGCGCAUGUGUUGGUUUACAGCGGGCAUAAUACAUCUAACCUUACAUAUAAUAUAGAAGAAGAAGAACCUACUGGCUACUGCCGUUUUAACUGACGAAGAAGAGUUUGCGCAAGUGGUUGAGGUCAAUUUCUUUGUUGUCGUGGCGGAUCACGAGAAAAAAAUACAACUAUGUCGUCUCGGAGCACCACGUUACAGUCAUUUGGUGAACAUUUCAAUGAAGGGCACAAGAAGAUAUCUUGUAAAUUCUACGGCUGUAAACGUGCUUAUACGGAUGUGAGCGCACUGGAAAGUCACGUGAAUGACCAUGUCAUCCCAACAGAGUCUCUUCCUGGAAAAGUAUUUCAGUGCUCCAGUGUUGGCUGUAGCUGCUCCUUCCCAAACAUGCAGAAAUUGAUGGAACAUAUGAGACGUCAUCAUAAACCCAACUUGUAUUUCUUGUGUGAAAAUUGCCGCACCAAGCUGCGAUCUUACCGUGGCCUUCUGACUCACCUCCACACCUGUUCCAAAGUUCCACGGGGAAAAACAAAGUCAUCAGAACAGGCUACUCUUCCGCCAGUCGGUGUGACCAAUCCAAACGUGACAGCCAUUAUGAACCCCCCUCAGAUAGACGUGAUGCCCACGCCACAAAAAGUGAUCUCUACUAAGCCGGAGAGUUCUUAAAAAGUAUUCUUGCUCACCAAAUUGUUUCCCGCUGAACUAAGAGACAUCUGGUGUCAACUUGCCUUUGUUUUUAAUGCAUUAAGGAUGUAAUCCUUCUACAAGUAUAUGUAUAUAGGCAGUGUUAGAAUGUGGAACUACUUAGCAAAUGGUUUGAAACCAUAAAUUUGGUUUUGUACUCCAUUGAUUUGUGCGUGAACUUUGUGAUCAUUUAUAACAAGAUUAUUGAUUUAUCAGUUAUACUCGUGGCUGGAGCACUUACUAUCAUUACACAUACACACACUAAAAACCCUUAAAUGAUUACUUCAAUAAGUUUGUUUCAGCAGGUAAAGAUAGGCAAUAACAAAAAUAUAUCAUUUAAAACCCCUUAAGGCCUGCAACAUGAAUCAUGAGUCAGAGAAUCCCAAUAUUUGAAAAAUCGGAUCUUAAUGGAACCUUUUUUCAAAUUUGUAAAAAAAAAAAAAAAGUAAGCACCAAUAUGUAGAACCCAUGCUAAAUCCUGAUUUUUCAUAUGCAACCUGCAGACCCAUGUGUUGACUUGCAUCCAUCAAAUUUCCCCCCCCCCCCCAAAAUUGUGAAUUGGUCUGAAAAUCACAAAAAUAAAGGGUUAAAUGAAAGAAUCCAUUUUGGGGGGAGGGAAAAACAUUUAAAUGGUAAUAAUUUAAAAAGUCAUUAGAAAUAGUUAAAAAGAAACUGCAUCUAACGGUAGGCCAUUUUUAAAAGAUUUUUGUUGAAUUAAACCUCCAUGUUAGAAAUGACACGCAGUUCAGUUCCACGCCCUAUGAAGCGCUAAAAUGCCAUGAAUAAAGAGAUGCUGUUCUAAGAAAGCAAUGCUGCUCACCUUGAAGGGGUCUCGAGUUUUACUGUUAAAAUUAGUUACAACAGUUCCUUCCAAAACUGCCAAUUUUUUGUCAAAAGUAGCAUAAAUGUGAUCAACCAUUUUUCUCCUGUCUCGAAUCUGGCAACACUGGUAAAAUCAGGCUGGCUUGCCAGGCUAGUGUUUAGCUAGAUUUAAUGUUGCAUGUGAAUGUUUUUUUUUUUAGUUGACACUUUUCUAUAUAUUUAAAAACAUUUUGUCAGUUUUCAUCCCAUUGUUUUUAAUGCGGUUUCAAAUUUUGGGACACACCAUUGUUUCUGUAACACGACUGAGAACCUGAUGCAGGCAUAACACAAGUGAAGUGAUUCUUAACCUUGGUAAAUUUACCGAACCCCACACGUUUCACCUUUGCAUUCACCGAACCCUUCAAUAUUUAGUCAUAAUUCAGUUUUUAUUUUCAAAUUCAAAACCAACAUAGCUAAGCUAGCAAGCUAAUAUUUAAGUGAAUUCCUGUUCAAAUGUCACAUUCACUACAAAUAAAUUUGCCUUUUGCAGUUUUCAUGUUUGAAAAUGAAACGUCAUAUCAUUUGUUUUCAGGUCAACGUUCAUUUUUUUCCCACAUGUAAAAUUUGAAGCAAAUGUUUAUUAUCUGCGAAGUCCACGCUGCCUGUAGGUCUAGAAUUCCUCAUACCAAGUCCAAGUCAACCUUCCACUGAGCAAACCGGUUUCCCUAUUAGAGGGCGAGCAAUAGAAAGAACAAAGCCUGUAAAUUGUAAAACAGUUUAAAAUGAGACUGCCUUUAGUCAGCGUAUGAAAAUAGGGGUUCUAUGUAUCUUAACCUUCACCUAACACCCUGGGUUCAUUCAAACCCAGGUUAGGAAUCAAUGCUCAAGUCAGAAGCUAGAUGCUUUGAGCAAACCCGUCAUUCAGUGUGCGUGUGCCUGUGGAAGAAAGUGACCGACAGUAGAGUAGAAGUACAGGGUGACCCAACCCCCCCCAAAAAACAAAUUUGGAUAGACAUCAUUUUUUGACUUUCAAAGAGACUAGCUAUAACGGUAUUUGAUACAUUUUUAGAACAUCUUACAUUGAAAAUGAGCAAGCUUUAGCUGCAGUCUUUUUUUCAAGGCAAAGCUCCCCACAUAAAUUCCAAUUUCUGUCCGUUUUUAGCCUGCACUCUUUGACCAAUUCUACAUCUCACCCUUUCAACUUACAAAAAUCCAACCAACAAGUUGCUACCAAAAUCUGUUAACUCGAUGGCUGCCGUUGAUGCCGCUAGAUGCCCUAUCGAUUAAGACUGGGAAUGAAAACUCACACCCAGUCUUUCCGAUUUUCGGGGCAUUUACAGGUCACUUCCAAGUCAUUUGGGGAGAUCCCCCGGGUCACUUGCUAUUGUGUAACCCAAAAUCAACAGCAAAUGUCCCAAAAUUGAACUCUUUGCCAUUGAGAUUGUUGUCCAAUCCAUUUGAAGUAGCCCUACCAGUGACUAAGUGAUCAAACUCAUUCCAAUUCACAGGAGAAGGAUGAAAAUACCUUGUUAAUAAUUGUUUAGUAGAAUAUCAAUGAGUUCUUCACCCAGGUAUCUGUAAUUGUUGUAUAGCCAUAUCGUGAAAUCAUUGUUCUCGUAAGUAAAUCAUAUCGUGAUGUACUUCAGAGGUUUCCACCCAUAUGCCACUUGCAAACAAGGGCAUCCAACUACCUUAUCCUUAUGUUUGGGAAUCAUAUUUUCCCUCGAUAAAAGCUGGCAUAGAGACAGAUGAUGAAUUCUACGGACCCCCUUUACAAGAAAUGGACAAAAUCCCCCAAAUUUUAUUUGAUAUUAAGAAUGAGCUGAUAGAAGUACUUGACUACUGUCACAGAUAAAAAGGUCUGUUUACUGUAUUAUAACACAAUAUCACAUGUCAAAGCCAUUUAAUCAUCCUAAUGCAAGACAUAUCAUGCAAUUUAAAGUGUUUGUAAAGGAAUAAUCAAUGAAAAGAAAGUAUUAAUCUGCUUCAAUAACUUAGUCCAUCCGUCGAAGGAAAUCCUAUCCAUUCUAUUCUACUUUCUUAGGACUCUGAAAACAUGAGUCAUUUUUAAUUGACAACUGUUAUAAAUAGGAAAAAGGGCGUACAAAAAGAAUAAUAAUCCCUCAGAUGAGACACUGUUGAUCUGUUUUGCUCAUUAUUGUUGCAUCAUUUCCCGUUAAUAAAAUAUUUUCUGAUCAAUGGCGUACGUCUUUCCUGCUGGAAGCCUUCGGAAGAAUAAACUGCUUCCUCUGCUCAUGUUUCCCUGGAUUAGGAAAAAAAAAAAGAAAAAAUAGUUAGCCGUGGCAAAAAUUCAUGAAGCAAUUUUAGUCACGUACUUUCAGGAGAGACAGAACCACACCUCUGUCAAGUUGGCCCCCCAUCAGACACAAAUUUAUAUAUAAACGUUUGUGCCGUUAUUGUUUUUAAGAUAUUUAUAAUUCUUUUAUAGGUCAAUCUGAGGUUGACCAUCCCCCCAUUUAAAUUAAAAAUGGCUACAAAUGGUGUCAUACGUUUAAGGCAGUUUCUAACCAGCGACAGCCUGGUGUGAAGGGUUCAGCGGCAACCCAUUCAUUGUGUAUGUGGGAGCAGACUUCUCGGCAAAAAAGUGAGCGGUGGACUUAAAAUAAAUAAAUCAUAUAAAAUAAGUUAUUGUUCUUAUUUUAGCCUUGGGUGGAACUCAAGGGCAUAGGUUUGCAUAGGGACGGUAGGGACAUAACACUAGCAACUUUUCAGGAUGCUCAAAUUGUCCCCACCAACUUUGAAGCAACCUUAUUUGUAUUACAUAAUUUGUUCAGCUAUAUAAGUCAUCUAGAUUCUCUUCCCAUAUGUUGUAACGAUAGAAUUGACCCUACCGUUAAGUGAAUUAUUUUCAGACUUACAUUUACCCCUUUUUCACUUGCUGAAUGAGCCAGUCCAUGUUUUUUCCUCAAACGCACGUUUGAUUGGCUGCUGACUUGACAGCCCCCCACGCACACACUCUCACAAUGCAGAAUUACGUUACAUGUCGACAUGCUGCCUCUUCUGCCCGCUUCAAGGAGGGAUGUUAGAAGUUUUUUUUUUCGGCCAGCAGCCACUGUAAGUAAUGUGAAAGCCUUAGUAGGACACUGCUUCAACAGAAGUGUCCUCCUAUAUGUGUAUUCUACUAUGUUAACUAGAGGAAUUUAAAAAAAAAAAAAAAAAAGAUUAUUACAUGCAUCGCGAUUCGACACGUGAUGAUUCGAUUAUGAUUCAUAAAGGUUCAAAAACGAUUUUCCCUCAUAACUUAUGACAGCCACUUGUAGCGGAACGAAAUUCAAGACACGUCUGCCGCCCGGACACCGUUAACGGACGCACGCACAACGUUAUAAUGGAUGCUCCCGUUUACUGGAAGAGAGAUUUACUCCUUUUUAAAAGACUGGAAAAUAAAUUUGUGUAUGAGACAGGCUGGCAGGACCAGAAACGCGAUCCGGCGAUCUGUCGGUUUUGUGCGCAAGUUAUUUUUUAGAGCGAGAGGGGAAAAGAUAUAGUUCGUUGCUCCUUGUCUUUCAGAUGUCCAGCAGUAGUUCUAAGGCAUUUCAAUUGAAAAAUGUCCUGAGUGUGUUGCUAAGACCUGUGUGCGUCUAUAAAAGGCAAGAACACGAACCCUCUUGUACUGUUUAGCCUUUAUUGUUGUUGUUUUUGAAAUGUUAAUAGUUAGCGCCGAGCGCUUAGCUAAUUCGCUAACGUGUAUUUCAUAUGCAGAA